ensembl:lncRNA
GUGGCCGUGGGGUGACAGGGUGGUGGCCUUGGGGUGACACGGUGGUGGCCAUGGGGUGACAGGGUGGUGGCCAUGGGGUGACACGGUGGUGGCCUUGGGGUGACAACAUGGUGGCUGCAAAGUGACAGGGUGGUGGCCAUGGGGUGACAUGGGACAGUGACACCAUGGGGUGGGGUACAAUAGGAGGAGGUGACACUGUGGGAGGUGACACUGUGGGGUGGUGACACUGUGGGGUGGGUGACAAUAGGAGGAGGUGACACUGUGGGGUGGGUGACACUGAGGAGGUGACACCGUGGGACAGUGCAUAAUGGGGGGGGUGACAAUGGGAGGAGGUGACUCUGUGGGAGGUGACACUGUGGGACGGUGACAUGACGGGGUGGGUGACAAUAGGAGGAGGUGACACUGUGGGGUGGUGACACUGUGGGGUGGGUGACAAUAGGAGGAGGUGACACUGUGGGAGGUGACACUGUGGGGUGGGUGACACUGAGGCGG